rnacentral:rRNA from 1 species
GGGUUGUGAGGUUAAGCGACUAAGCGUACACGGUGGAUGCCCUGGCAGUCAGAGGCGAUGAAGGACGUGCUAAUCUGCGAUAAGCGUCGGUAAGGUGAUAUGAACCGUUAUAACCGGCGAUUUCCGAAUGGGGAAACCCAGUGUGUUUCGACACACUAUCAUUAACUGAAUCCAUAGGUUAAUGAGGCGAACCGGGGGAACUGAAACAUCUAAGUACCCCGAGGAAAAGAAAUCAACCGAGAUUCCCCCAGUAGCGGCGAGCGAACGGGGAGCAGCCCAGAGCCUGAAUCAGUGUGUGUGUUAGUGGAAGCGUCUGGAAAGGCGCGCGAUACAGGGUGACAGCCCCGUACACAAAAAUGCACAUGCUGUGAGCUCGAUGAGUAGGGCGGGACACGUGGUAUCCUGUCUGAAUAUGGGGGGACCAUCCUCCAAGGCUAAAUACUCCUGACUGACCGAUAGUGAACCAGUACCGUGAGGGAAAGGCGAAAAGAACCCCGGCGAGGGGAGUGAAAAAGAACCUGAAACCGUGUACGUACAAGCAGUGGGAGCACAGAGCAAUCUGUGUGACUGCGUACCUUUUGUAUAAUGGGUCAGCGACUUAUAUUCUGUAGCAAGGUUAACCGAAUAGGGGAGCCGAAGGGAAACCGAGUCUUAACUGGGCGUUAAGUUGCAGGGUAUAGACCCGAAACCCGGUGAUCUAGCCAUGGGCAGGUUGAAGGUUGGGUAACACUAACUGGAGGACCGAACCGACUAAUGUUGAAAAAUUAGCGGAUGACUUGUGGCUGGGGGUGAAAGGCCAAUCAAACCGGGAGAUAGCUGGUUCUCCCCGAAAGCUAUUUAGGUAGCGCCUCGUGAAUUCAUCUCCGGGGGUAGAGCACUGUUUCGGCAAGGGGGUCAUCCCGACUUACCAACCCGAUGCAAACUGCGAAUACCGGAGAAUGUUAUCACGGGAGACACACGGCGGGUGCUAACGUCCGUCGUGAAGAGGGAAACAACCCAGACC